UACGGAGGGUGCAAGCGUUAUCCGGAUUCACUGGGUUUAAAGGGUGCGUAGGCGGGUUGGGAAGUCCGUGGUGAAAUCUCCAAGCUUAACUUGGAAACUGCCGUGGAUACUAUCAAUCUUGAAUAUCGUGGAGGUAAGCGGAAUAUGUCAUGUAGCGGUGAAAUGCUUAGAUAUGACAUAGAACACCAAUUGCGUAGGCAGCUUACUACACGAUCAUUGACGCUGAGGCACGAAAGCGUGGGGAGCAAACAGG
rnacentral:rRNA from 1 species